CCGCGCCUUGGAGGGUCCUCUAGGGUCGGUGGGGGGCCUGGGCCGUGGGAGGCCGGGGGUGCCUCCUGCAGCCGCUGCAGCACAGGGAUCCCCGGCGGGGUCUGCGCCGGGAGAAAGGGAGGUCUCCGGGGCCCGCGAGGCUGCCACGUCGUCCCCUUCCGCCGCUCGGCCCGCCUGCUCGCGGGGACGGAGGAAGGGGCGGGCACGCGUCCAGCUUGCGCGCGAGGCUGGCCAGGCCCUGGGUGCCGAGCCCAGGGCUGUUCGGCCAAGGCCCAGCCAUUCUUCUUAUUCGUCGUGCUCCUAGCUCGCACCGGCGACCCUGGAAGCUGCCCCGGGCUGAGGGAGGUUCUUCCAGCCGCGCCUCAGCCCUGGCGACUCCCGCCUGGGGGCCACUCGACCUUAGGACCCCUCAGGCCUCAGGACCCCUCCGAUCUCAGGACCUCCCAGGCCUCAGGCCCCGCAGGGAUGGCCCAGGCAGGAGGUGCACACAGGGGCCCUGACUGUCCGAGCUGGUUCUGCAGGGGCUGCGAUGGGAUCCCAGCCCUUUCCACCCGUAGCUCCUUUGGCUCGGGCAUUGCCUCUGGUGCUCGGGAGCCUUGUGAGGAGCCCCAGGGUGGGGCCCGUAGUUAGCCAGGGCGAGAGUGGGAUGGGCUUCUGCCUCCGGGUGAACACGCAUGGAUUUAAGAACCCACGCAGGCGUUCGGUCACAGUGCUCACGGCUUCCUCACCCCGGCUGGCACUGUUGGUUCCUGCACGGCCACUGGACCUCACCCAGACAGAGCCGGUUUGGGUCACCUGGCCAAACCCCAAGGGUCCUGGCUCCUGGGUAUGUCACUGCUGUGCAGGCCUCAGCUGGGCCCCAUCCUCAGCAGAUGCCAGGGAAUGCCCCGAUCCCUCCAAUGACCCUGCCUGCGCCCUUGUGGACCUCAUAGUGCAGUGGGCAGGCAGAGACUCUUCUGUGUCUGAGACCUGGGUGAAGGCCAGGGGUCUGUGCCAUCCACGUAACAUGCAGAGAGAAGGCCCUGGCAGGCCAGACCCGCUGCAUGGCCUUGUUCCUGCCCCGUAAGAGUCCCAGCCUAUGCCUAGCAGCAGCACCUGUCCCAAGUGCCACACCCACAGAGAUGGGGUGAGCUCUCUGGCCCCGCCACCAGCAUUGCAACCACCUCCUGGGCUUUUAGUGGCCACUUGCUCUGAUCCCCGAAACCAGAAACCAGAACCCAGCACCCGAGGCCAUGCAAGGCUCCUCACAGAACUGAUCAUCAAGAAAGCCCAGGACACAAAGCCUGCCAGCCACAGGGCAGCACCUGCACCCCAGCGAUCCAGGCAGCCCCACAUGCUGCCUGAGUGCUCUGGAGAGGAGGGGCCCUAGGGUGUCCCAGUCCUGGGAUGAGAGCAGCCUCAGGACCAGGCUUGGAGAGCCAUGAAAGUGGGGUCCUUCCAGAAGCACAGGCCAGGAAGUGGUGUGUGGUGGAGGGGAAGCCUGCUGGAGAUGGUGCGGAGCCAGAUUCAAUGGGGAGAGCUGCCAGAGAGUCAUAGCUGUGUCCCCAGAAGAAGCACAAGUACUAACCCACAGCACCUGUGGCCACGACCUUAGUUGGAAACAGGGUCUUUGCACAUGAUCAGGUUAAGAGGAAGUCAUUAGGGUGGGCCCUAGUCUGAAAUGGCUUGUGUCCCUAUAAAGGGGGAGAUUCGGACUCAGAGACAGACACAGAGAGAGCUCCACGGGAAGGCCGAAUUCUGCUGCUACAGGCCGCAGGCGUCUCCCUGGAGAACUGCAGAGGGGCCUCUACAGCACAGACCCUGCCUGUGUCACGGGCAUACAGAAGAAUCCACGCAGGUUUCCCAACGGGCAGGAUCCUGAUGAGGGGCCGGUUCUUCUGAAGCAGGAGCAGCUGACUGUGUAGGGAGACUGCUGACCGUCCUGCCCCGGUGUCUUCCGCGGCCACGGUUGCCUUGAGCAGGCAUGAAAAAGAAAUACCUGUGAAAAUGGGACUCCUUGAGCAAGAACCCACAUUUGCAAAUGGGGCAGGUCCACCCCAGAAGGGUGCUGAGCAAGUUUAGAUGUCUGGGACUGGCCAGUCCUACUGUCCGAGGGGUCCUUUCUCAGGGCCAGGCUCAGUGGGGAGAGGACGCCGGGCAGGCUGCCUGGGCUGGUGGGCCAGUGACGGGUGGGCUGCCUGCACAGUGGGCCGGUGCAGCCCCCAAGCGGACAGCCUGCCGUUGGAACCAAGAGUCAUUUAAUUUGUUUAAAGCCCAAGUGUAAAGAGACACGGUGACUUUAAUGCGGAGGGGCCCAGAGUUCUUCAGAAGAUGCAUCCAGAAACAAUUUCCUUCCUUAAAACUGAAUUCUGCCUUACGAUAGGAAACUCGGUAAAAUCCGUGAGCAGAAGACUUGCAAACUUUUCCUCUCGAUAUCUUUGCAAUGGCCAUUUCUCCUUUUGGUCCACCUCUCAAGCUGCACUGCACAUGAUAACGUUUCUAAUGUUCCAACUUAAUCUUUUUCUCAGAAUCUUUUCAUUUGCUGAUAUUUUGGUUUCCUGUUUUUUCUCAGUAAUAAAUAAUGAGAAGGUUCAGCAGAGAACGGGCCGUGCGGCCGUGCUGCCGUCUCCCUGGCGUUGCCGGCUCUGUCAGUUGGCUGUGGAGCCCCCGGCAUCUUCCGCGACCCACUCCUUUCUUGUAUACUUGGGUCACGGUUGGUUCUGGGUCAUGAGACUGUUCUGUCACUGCUGUGAGCACCAUGAUGGGCCCUGGCAGACUUCCCUCCAGAUCCCCCUGGCUGCCUCCGUCUGUCCAGCAAACGUGGGAGGGCUGCUCGGGGAAGCAGGCAGGAGUGAGGCCACGGUGCAGGAGGAGACGCAGCCCCGAGAAGGAAGAAGAGGACGGUGUCACUUGAGAGGGCCCAAAGAGUCUGCCCUGCCAGGGCACUGAGUUCAAGGGGCAUCUUGAGUGCGGGAAAGGAAGUGCCUGCUGCUCCCUAGGGCACCUUGGUGGCAUCCGCAGAGGGAAGGCAGCCCCAGCAGCCCCCUGCAGUGACAGCAAACAGCCAGGCGCCAGGGAGGCCCCUGCGGUGACAGCCCUGGGUCACGGGGUCAGAAGCGGCCCACCAAGACCUGGGGCCUGGCAGCCCGGCUCCUGGUCCUCCCUGGUGUAGAUGAUCGACCCACAUGGCGAGACCAGGAGCGUUCCAGGGUCCCGUGGACAUGCGUGAUGUGCCACAGGCCUGUGCGGCAUCCCGCCCGCUGGCCAAGCACCUGGCAUUGCCACUCGGAGUUGAAGAAGGGCAGCCUCACCUGGGAGAGGCGUUCCUUGAAUCCCGCACCUGACAUGAGGAUUCCAGAAGCAUCUUCCCAAGCAGAGCAUCUUUCCUAGCUACGUCAGGGGGAACACCCAUCACCCUCCCUCCUCACCCAAGAGUCCUAAGAGGGGUCGUCUUCAGGCAUCAGGGCUUCCCCUUCCCCGGCCUUCCAAAAUGUUCUCCAGGACUCCCCUUCUCCAAAGUUUCCAGAAUGUUCUCCGGGGCUCCCCAUUCUCUACGUCAUCUAGAAUGUUCUCCAGGGCUCCCCCUUCUCCAGACCUUCCAGAAUGUUCUCCAGGGCUCCUCCUUCUCUGGGCCUUCCAGAACAUUAUCCAGGGCUCCCCCUUCUCUGGGUCAUUCAGAACAUUCUCCAGGGCACAGUGGGGAGGAAGGAGCUCCCACCUUGGCCCAGGAGCCCAAGUGUUGCCCCAGCCUGGGGGGCAACCCUCUCCCCUGGGUGGGCUUUUGGGCUGCCUCAGGACAUGUGGGUUGCCUCAUUUCCUCCCCUGCCCCCAGGCCCCCCGGCCCACCUGCCCAUGUGGACUCUCCACGCUCUUUGACCCCAAGGAAAAAGGUCAAAUGCCAUGUUCUCUGCUGCCUUCUUGAGGGACACUUCAGAUCUGGCUGAGGGAACCAUGCCAGGUGAGGUCAAAGGGCAUGACUUCUGUGGAGGGUGCAGGGUGCAGGGUGGCGACUCGCGCCCAGAGGAAUGACCUUCACCGGCUUGUGCUGGAUUAGCAGGUGACUGUGCAGGACAUCUGAUUGUGCAGCUUAGAGCCAG